UACGUAGGUGGCAAGCGUUGUCCGGAAUUAUUGGGCGUAAAGCGCGCGCAGGCGGCUUCUUAAGUCUGAUGUGAAAUCUCGGGGCUCAACCCUGAGCGGCCAUUGGAAACUGGGAAGCUUGAGUGCAGAAGAGGAGAGUGGAAUUCCACGUGUAGCGGUGAAAUGCGUAGAGAUCGGGAGGAACACCAGAGGCGAAAGCGGCGACCUGGACAGGCACUGACACUCAACUACGAAAGCGUGGGGAGCAAACAGG
rnacentral:rRNA from 1 species